rnacentral:rRNA from 1 species
GAUGAACGCUAGCUACAGGCUUAACACAUGCAAGUCGAGGGGCAGCAUGGUCUUAGCUUGCUAAGACUGAUGGCGACCGGCGCACGGGUGAGUAACACGUAUCCAACCUGCCGUCUACUCUUGGACAGCCUUCUGAAAGGAAGAUUAAUACAAGAUGGCAUCAUGAGUCCGCAUGUUCACAUGAUUAAAGGUAUUCCGGUAGACGAUGGGGAUGCGUUCCAUUAGAUAGUAGGCGGGGUAACGGCCCACCUAGUCUUCGAUGGAUAGGGGUUCUGAGAGGAAGGUCCCCCACAUUGGAACUGAGACACGGUCCAAACUCCUACGGGAGGCAGCAGUGAGGAAUAUUGGUCAAUGGACGAGAGUCUGAACCAGCCAAGUAGCGUGAAGGAUGACUGCCCUAUGGGUUGUAAACUUCUUUUAUACGGGAAUAAACCCUCCCACGUGUGGGAGCUUGUAUGUACCUUAUGAAUAAGCAUCGGCUAACUCCGUG